GACGAACGCUGGCGGCGUGCUUAACACAUGCAAGUCGAACGGAAAGGCCCUGCGUUUGUGGGGUGCUCGAGUGGCGAACGGGUGAGUAACACGUGAGUAACCUGCUCUUGACUUUGGGAUAACUUCAGGAAACUGGGGCUAAUACCGGAUAGGAGCUCCUGCUGCAGGGUGGGGGUUGGAAAGUUUCGGCGGGUGGGGAUGGACUCGCGGCUUAUCAGCUUGUUGGUGGGGUAGUGGCUUACCAAGGCUUUGACUGGUAGGCGGCCUGAGAGGGUGGCCGGGCACCUUGGGACUGCGAUACGGCCCAGAGUGCUACGGGAGGCAGCAGUGGGGAAUAUUGCCCAAUGGGACCAAGCCUGAUGCAGCAGCGCCGCGUGCGGGAUGACGGCCUUCGGGUUGAAAACCGCUUUCGCCUGUGACGAAGCGUGAGUGACGGUAAUGGGUAAAGAAGCACCGGCUAACUACGUG
rnacentral:rRNA from 1 species